GACUGAGGGGAUUUCUUGGAGAACUGUUCUGGCAAGAAGUGCCUGGCUCUGGGCUGCAAAUUGAGCACAGUGGUCCCGGCAUCUGCAUCUGAAUCGCUGCUAUUGCCAUCUAUCAUAGAGCAAAAGAAGGACAAGUCCACAGCAGCAGAACUCCCAGGGGACCCCAAGGCUUCAGCCAUGGUUUCCAGGAAGAUAGCAGAACCCUGAAGAGGGGUUGAGAGGAGAAGCAGAGAAGAUGCCCAGCAUAGGACCUGCUGAGCCCAGUGUCAUGGCUCAGCCUCCAAUUACAGCACAAAACCAGAAGGCAGCCUGUUAGCCAAAGGUAUUGCUGAAGUGAUGUCUAGAGUUCCCAAGCACAAGAAGCCUGUGAUGUGCCUUACGGAGAAAAUGCGUUAAUUAAGCUUGAUCAUAGUGAGUUUAUCGUGCUCCUGACCAUGAGUUCAUUGUUAAUGAAUCAGCAAUAUAUAUUAAAUAAGGUGUCCAUAAACAUAAACAUACAUAAAAAGGCUACAUAUUGAUUGGCUGAUGAAAAUUUUGUGAACAGAGGCUCAAAAAAACCUAACCUUGUGUGUCCCUCUAGAAAAGUGGUUCAGGCCGGGCGCGGUGGCUCACGCCUAUAAUCCCAGCACUUUGGGAGGCCGAGGCGGGUGGAUCAUGAGGUCAAGAGAUCGAGACCAUCCUGGUCAACAUGGUGAAACCCCGUCUCUACUAAAAAUACAAAAAAAUUAGCUGGGCAUGGUGGCGCGUGCCUGUAAUCCCAGCUACUCAGGAGGCUGAGGCAGGAGAAAAUUGCCUGAACCCAGGAGGCGGAGGUUGCGGUGAGCCGAGAUCGCGCCAUUGUGCUCCAGCCUGGGUAACAAGAGCGAAACUCCGUCUCAAAAAAAAAAAAAAAAGAAAGAAAGAAAAGAAAAGUGGUUCAGUAUUUGCAGCUGGGAGCAGUAGUUCAUGCCUGUAAUCCCAGCACUUUGAGAGGCUGAGGUUGGCAGAUCACCUGAGGUCAGGGGUUUGAGAACAGCUUGAACAACAUGACAAAACCCCAUCUCUAUUAAAAAUACAAAAAUUAACUGGGUUUGGUGGUGGGCGCCCUUAAUCCCAACUACUCAGGAGGCUGAGGCAGGAAAAUCGCUUGAACCUGGAUGGCAGAGGUUGCAGUGAGCCGAGAUUGUGCCACUGCACUCUAACCUGGGUGACAAAGCAAGAUUCCAUCUCAAAAGAAACAAAAAAGGUUCAGCAUUUGCAAAUCAGUGUUUGAGGUUAUUUUAUGGAAUGUAAUUCCUUUUACAGUAGACAGUUGGGAACUGCAUUUAUAUAUUUUUAUUCUAACUCCUUCCAAAAAGGGCUUGAGGCAGGCUACAAAAAUAUGUAGUAUAAGAAAAUAAAUAGAAAAGAAAAAUUAAGAAACAAAUUAAAGCCGGGAAAGUUGAUAUGCAUAAAUGCAGGUCUUACAGAAGAAGCACUGAGGACACAGAAAUUAAAGAACACAGUUUUCUUAUAUGUUUCAAUGCAAAUUUACCACUGCUGUGAACCAAUCAUAAUAGUACUUACUGGGGUACAAAAACCUAGUGCACAAUGGGUAAUGGAUUCACAGAGAGGAGUAAACACAGAGAAUUAAUGCUUCUGCAGGACAGACUUCUCUAGAUUUAGGUGAUUCAUUUUUACCUCCUCUCAAUCACUCAGAUAGUUUAUUAGAAGCAUUUUCUCAGGGAGAGGUGUUUUUGUUUAGACAGCUGUUCCACUUUCUAGUCAGGUUUUUUUUUUUUACCAUCAAAGUUAAUUCACAGAUUUUCAGAGUUGGAAGGAAUAUAAGAGGUCAUUAAGUACAAUCUAUCUUUUUGAUAUCUUAUUUUCUUGUAUAAUGUG